rnacentral:tRNA from 1 species
GUUUUUGUAAUUUAAUAAAAAUAUUGGUCUUGUAAGCCAAAAAUAGAUUUAAUCUCAAAAACA